rnacentral:rRNA from 1 species
UACGAAGGGGACUAGCGUUGCUCGGAAUGACUGGGCGUAAAGGGCGCGUAGGCGGUUUGGACAGUCAGGCGUGAAAUUCCUGGGCUUAACCUGGGGGCUGCGCUUGAUACAUCCAGACUUGAGUGGGGAAGAGGGUCGUGGAAUUCCCAGUGUAGAGGUGAAAUUCGUAGAUAUUGGGAAGAACACCGGUGGCGAAGGCGGCGACCUGGUCCUUUACUGACGCUGAGGCGCGAAAGCGUGGGGAGCAAACAGG